GGGAGGGAGGGAAGGAGGUCAGGUUACCAGUAAACGCCUUCAAGCCACACAAAUCAGUUUAGUGCUUUGACAGGUAUACACCUGCUGGGCACCAACAUGCACCCUGGGUCUUUCAUCGAGGAGCUUGCAGGCUGGCUGGAAGGGACAAGAGUGUUCCUUGAGAGAGAACAGUUCAACACUGUGAUCAUGUGCCAAGGCCAGAAGUGAAGUAGCUCAGUUACUAAGACAAGAAAAACUCAGAGACCAAGCAGCCAGAGCUAUGGGGCACAGGAAACGGAGCCCAGGGAAGUUCCCAGCAUUGAGGCAUGAAUAUGGUGGUCUGCAAAAGGGCAGCUUUCCCGUGUAUGCAAUCUCAGCCACCAUUGGAAUCACUGAACCUGGAAUCACUGUAUCUGGAAAGGGCCGUGGGGGCCCUCUGUCCUACUCCCCACUAGAGCAGGGAAGGAUGAAGCCUGUGUAGACAAGGACUGCUGCCUGACAUGAGGAUGGAAGCCGAGUGCUUCUGUGUUUUUUCCCUAGCUGUUUACACAAAACAAGACUUUGGAAUAUGUGGAGUUUGCAAACAGUAACGUGAAGCGUGGAGGAGGGAGUUGGAACUUGUGCUCUACGGAAUGUGUUGUCAGUUCCAAAGAAAGCCUCUGAGGGUAAACCCUGGGCUCAGAGCAAUGCCGGGCUCACACAAGAUCUGUCGCUUGCUCCUGCUUGCCUGCCUGCCAGAGGGGCCCUCGCUCCUAUCACUACAACCAAAAUGUGCAAUGCAGUAGGAGUGUCUCAGCACUGUCUGCCAGUUUUCUCUUCUUCACCAUUUUCACAUUAAUUCCAGGGGAAGAGCAUCGAAAAA
rnacentral:lncRNA from 1 species